rnacentral:tRNA from 1 species
GCCUAGGUGGCUCAGUUGGUUAAGUAUCUGACUUCAGCUCAGGUCAUGAUCUCAGAGUUUGUGGGUUCAAGCUCCGCGUUGGGCU